rnacentral:lncRNA from 1 species
CACUCACACACAUAGUUCACACACACACUGGUGCUGUGACUGUAGUAGGUUGGUGGUGUGACGGCUGUGUAGGCUGGUGCUGUGACUGUAGUAGGUUGGUGGUGUGACGGCUGUGUAGGCUGGUGCUGUGACUGUAGUAGGUUGGUGGUGUGACGGCUGUGUAGGCUGGUGCUGUGACUGUAGUAGGUUGGUGGUGUGACGGCUGUGUAGGCUGGUGCUGUGACUGUAGUAGGUUGGUGGUGUGACGGCUGUGUAGGCUGGUGCUAUGAUGGCUGUGUAGGCUGGUGCUGUGACUGUAGUAGGUUGGUGGUGUGACGGCUGUGUAGGCUGGUGCUGUGACUGUAGUAGGUUGGUUGUGUGAUGGCUGUGACUGUAGUAGGCUGGUGGUGUGAUGGCUGUGACUGUAGUAGGUUGGUGGUGUGACAGCUGUGUAGGCUGGUGCUGUGACUGUAGUAGGUUGGUGGUGUGAUGGCUGUGACUGUAGUAGGUUGGUGGUGUGACGGCUGUGACUGUAGUAGGUUGGUGGUGUGAUGGCUGUGACUGUAGUAGGUUGGUGGUGUGAUGGCUGUGACUGUAGUAGGUUGGUGGUGUGACUGUAGUAGGUUGGUGGUGUGAUGGCUGUGACUGUUGUAGGUUGGUGGUGUGACGGUUGUGACUGUAGUAGGCUGGUGGUGUGAUCGCUGUGACUGUAGUAGGUUGGUGGUGUGAUGGCUGUGACUAUAGUAGGUUGGUGGUGUGACUGUGGUAGGUUGGUGGUGUGACUGUAGUAGGUUGGGGGUGUGACUGUAGUAGGUUGAUGGUGUGAUGGCUGUGACUCUAGUAGGUUGGUGAUGUGAUUGCUGUGACUGUAGUAGGUUGGUGGUGUGAUGGCUGUGACUGUAGUAUGUGGGUAGUGUGACGUGUGACUGUAGUAGGUUGGUGGCGUGACUGUAGUAGGUUGGUGGUGUGAUGGCUGUGACUGUAGUAGGUUGAUGGUGUGAUGGCUGUGACUGUAGUAUGUUGGUGGUGUGACUGUAGUAGGCUGGUGGUGUGACUGUAGAAGGUUGGUGGUGUGAUGGCUGUGACUGUAGUAGGUUAGUGGUGUGACGGCUGUGACUGUAGUAGGUUGGUGGUGUGAUGGCUGUGACUGUAGUAGGUUGGUUGUGUGACGGCUGUGACUGUUGUAGGUUGGUGGUGUGAUGGCUGUGACUGUAGUAGGUUGGUGGUGUGACGGCUGUGACUGUAGUAGGUUGGUGGUGUGACGGCUGUGACUGUAGUAGGUUGGUGGUGUGACGGCUGUGACUGUAGUAGGUUGGUGGUGUGACGGCUGUGACUGUAGUAGGUUGGUAGUGUGACGGCUGUGACUGUGGUAGGUUGGUGCUGUGACUGUAGUAGGCUGGUGGUGUGAC